AUCAGGUAGGAAUACCCGCUGAACUUAAGCAUAUCAAUAAGCGGAGGAAAAGAAACUAACCAGGAUUCCCCUAGUAACGGCGAGUGAAGCGGGAAUAGCUCAAAUUUUAAAUCUGGCCGGCGUGGUCGGUCCGGGUUGUAAUUUGAAGAAGCGAUUAUCACGUUUUCGUUCGGGUUCAAGUUCCUUGGAAUAGGACAUCAGAGAGGGUGAGAAUCCCGUCUGUGAUCCGAUCGGUUUCGGUACGAUAACGUUUCUAAGAGUCGAGUUGUUUGGGAUUGCAGCUCAAAAUGGGUGGUAAAUUCCAUCUAAGGCUAAAUAUAGGCGAGAGACCGAUAGCGAACAAGUACCGUGAGGGAAAGAUGAAAAGAACUUUGAAAAGAGAGUUAAACAGUACGUGAAAUUGUUGAUAGGGAAACGAUUGAAGUCAGUCAUGCCGGUGAGAAAUCAGCUCACAGGCUACUGUGGGUGCACUUUUUCGCAAGGCAGGUUAACAUCGGUUUUUGUUGCGUUAUAAUGAUUGUAGGAAGGUGGCUCCUUCGGGAGUGUUAUAGCCUACUUUAGAUGGCGCGACGAAGACUGAGGAUUGCAGCGAAUGCCUUUGGCUACGGAUCUGUUCUCUGUCGAUCUUCGAUUGAUCGUCAGCUUGCUGACGAGCGGUUGAUGGGUUUACAAUAGGAUGGAAUUCGAUAAAUUCGCUAAGGAUGUUGACGUAAUGGCCUUAAACGACCCGUCUUGAAACACGGACCAAGGAGUCUAACAUAUGUGCGAGUGUU
rnacentral:rRNA from 1 species